CGGCCACAUUGGGACUGAGAUACGGCCCAGACUCCUACGGGAGGCAGCAGUGGGGAAUAUUGCACAAUGGGCGGAAGCCUGAUGCAGCGACGCCGCGUGAGGGAUGACGGCCUUCGGGUUGUAAACCUCUUUCAGCAGGGACGAAGCGUAAGUGACGGUACCUGCAGAAGAAGCACCGGCUAACUACGUGCCAGCAGCCGCGGUAAUACGUAGGGUGCGAGCGUUGUCCGGAAUUACUGGGCGUAAAGGGCUCGUAGGUGGUUUGUCGCGUCGUCUGUGAAAUUCCGGGGCUUAACUCCGGGCGUGCAGGCGAUACGGGCAUAACUUGAGUACUGUAGGGGUAACUGGAAUUCCUGGUGUAGCGGUGAAAUGCGCAGAUAUCAGGAGGAACACCGAUGGCGAAGGCAGGUUACUGGGCAGUUACUGACGCUGAGGAGCGAAAGCAUGGGUAGCGAACAGGAUUAGAUACCCUGGUAGUCCAUGCCGUAAACGGUGGGCGCUAGGUGUGAGGGUCUUUUCACGACUUUCGUGCCGUAGCUAACGCAUUAAGCGCCCCGCCUGGGGAGUACGGCCGCAAGGCUAAAACUCAAAGAAAUUGACGGGGGCCCGCACAAGCGGCGGAGCAUGUGGAUUAAUUCGAUGCAACGCGAAGAACCUUACCUGGGCUUGACAUAUAGAGGAUCGCUACAGAGAUGUGGUUUCCCUUGUGGCUUCUAUACAGGUGGUGCAUGGUUGUCGUCAGCUCGUGUCGUGAGAUGUUGGGUUAAGUCCCGCAACGAGCGCAACCC
rnacentral:rRNA from 1 species